GAUGAACGCUGGCGGCGUGCCUAAUACAUGCAAGUCGAGCGAACAGACGAGGAGCUUACUCCUCUGACGUUAGCGGCGGACGGGUGAGUAACACGUGGAUAAACUACCUAUAAGACUGGGAUAACUUCGGGAAACCGGAGCUAAUACCGGAUAAUAUAUUGAACCGCAUGGUUCAAUAGUGAAAGACGGUUUUGCUGUCACUUAUAGAUGGAUCCGCGCCGCAUUAGCUAGUUGGUAAGGUAACGGCUUACCAAGGCAACGAUGCGUAGCCGACCUGAGAGGGUGAUCGGCCACACUGGAACUGAGACACGGUCCAGACUCCUACGGGAGGCAGCAGUAGGGAAUCUUCCGCAAUGGGCGAAAGCUUGACGGAGCAACGCCGCGUGAGUGAUGAAGGUCUUCGGAUCGUAAAACUCUGUUAUUAGGGAAGAACAAAUGUGUAAGUAACUAUGCACGUCUUGACGGUACCUAAUCAGAAAGCCACGGCUAACUACGUG
rnacentral:rRNA from 1 species